GGGUUGUGAGGUUAAGCGACUAAGCGUACACGGUGGAUGCCCUGGCAGUCAGAGGCGAUGAAGGACGUGCUAAUCUGCGAUAAGCGUCGGUAAGGUGAUAUGAACCGUUAUAACCGGCGAUUUCCGAAUGGGGAAACCCAGUGUGUUUCGACACACUAUCAUUAACUGAAUCCAUAGGUUAAUGAGGCGAACCGGGGGAACUGAAACAUCUAAGUACCCCGAGGAAAAGAAAUCAACCGAGAUUCCCCCAGUAGCGGCGAGCGAACGGGGAGCAGCCCAGAGCCUGAAUCAGUGUGUGUGUUAGUGGAAGCGUCUGGAAAGGCGCGCGAUACAGGGUGACAGCCCCGUACACAAAAAUGCACAUGCUGUGAGCUCGAUGAGUAGGGCGGGACACGUGGUAUCCUGUCUGAAUAUGGGGGGACCAUCCUCCAAGGCUAAAUACUCCUGACUGACCGAUAGUGAACCAGUACCGUGAGGGAAAGGCGAAAAGAACCCCGGCGAGGGGAGUGAAAAAGAACCUGAAACCGUGUACGUACAAGCAGUGGGAGCACGCUUAGGCGUGUGACUGCGUACCUUUUGUAUAAUGGGUCAGCGACUUAUAUUCUGUAGCAAGGUUAACCGAAUAGGGGAGCCGAAGGGAAACCGAGUCUUAACUGGGCGUUAAGUUGCAGGGUAUAGACCCGAAACCCGGUGAUCUAGCCAUGGGCAGGUUGAAGGUUGGGUAACACUAACUGGAGGACCGAACCGACUAAUGUUGAAAAAUUAGCGGAUGACUUGUGGCUGGGGGUGAAAGGCCAAUCAAACCGGGAGAUAGCUGGUUCUCCCCGAAAGCUAUUUAGGUAGCGCCUCGUGAAUUCAUCUCCGGGGGUAGAGCACUGUUUCGGCAAGGGGGUCAUCCCGACUUACCAACCCGAUGCAAACUGCGAAUACCGGAGAAUGUUAUCACGGGAGACACACGGCGGGUGCUAACGUCCGUCGUGAAGAGGGAAACAACCCAGACCGCCAGCUAAGGUCCCAAAGUCAUGGUUAAGUGGGAAACGAUGUGGGAAGGCCCAGACAGCCAGGAUGUUGGCUUAGAAGCAGCCAUCAUUUAAAGAAAGCGUAAUAGCUCACUGGUCGAGUCGGCCUGCGCGGAAGAUGUAACGGGGCUAAACCAUGCACCGAAGCUGCGGCAGCGACGCUUAUGCGUUGUUGGGUAGGGGAGCGUUCUGUAAGCCUGCGAAGGUGUGCUGUGAGGCAUGCUGGAGGUAUCAGAAGUGCGAAUGCUGACAUAAGUAACGAUAAAGCGGGUGAAAAGCCCGCUCGCCGGAAGACCAAGGGUUCCUGUCCAACGUUAAUCGGGGCAGGGUGAGUCGACCCCUAAGGCGAGGCCGAAAGGCGUAGUCGAUGGGAAACAGGUUAAUAUUCCUGUACUUGGUGUUACUGCGAAGGGGGGACGGAGAAGGCUAUGUUGGCCGGGCGACGGUUGUCCCGGUUUAAGCGUGUAGGCUGGUUUUCCAGGCAAAUCCGGAAAAUCAAGGCUGAGGCGUGAUGACGAGGCACUACGGUGCUGAAGCAACAAAUGCCCUGCUUCCAGGAAAAGCCUCUAAGCAUCAGGUAACAUCAAAUCGUACCCCAAACCGACACAGGUGGUCAGGUAGAGAAUACCAAGGCGCUUGAGAGAACUCGGGUGAAGGAACUAGGCAAAAUGGUGCCGUAACUUCGGGAGAAGGCACGCUGAUAUGUAGGUGAAGUCCCUCGCGGAUGGAGCUGAAAUCAGUCGAAGAUACCAGCUGGCUGCAACUGUUUAUUAAAAACACAGCACUGUGCAAACACGAAAGUGGACGUAUACGGUGUGACGCCUGCCCGGUGCCGGAAGGUUAAUUGAUGGGGUCAGCGCAAGCGAAGCUCUUGAUCGAAGCCCCGGUAAACGGCGGCCGUAACUAUAACGGUCCUAAGGUAGCGAAAUUCCUUGUCGGGUAAGUUCCGACCUGCACGAAUGGCGUAAUGAUGGCCAGGCUGUCUCCACCCGAGACUCAGUGAAAUUGAACUCGCUGUGAAGAUGCAGUGUACCCGCGGCAAGACGGAAAGACCCCGUGAACCUUUACUAUAGCUUGACACUGAACAUUGAGCCUUGAUGUGUAGGAUAGGUGGGAGGCUUUGAAGUGUGGACGCCAGUCUGCAUGGAGCCGACCUUGAAAUACCACCCUUUAAUGUUUGAUGUUCUAACGUUGACCCGUGAUCCGGGUUGCGGACAGUGUCUGGUGGGUAGUUUGACUGGGGCGGUCUCCUCCUAAAGAGUAACGGAGGAGCACGAAGGUUGGCUAAUCCUGGUCGGACAUCAGGAGGUUAGUGCAAUGGCAUAAGCCAGCUUGACUGCGAGCGUGACGGCGCGAGCAGGUGCGAAAGCAGGUCAUAGUGAUCCGGUGGUUCUGAAUGGAAGGGCCAUCGCUCAACGGAUAAAAGGUACUCCGGGGAUAACAGGCUGAUACCGCCCAAGAGUUCAUAUCGACGGCGGUGUUUGGCACCUCGAUGUCGGCUCAUCACAUCCUGGGGCUGAAGUAGGUCCCAAGGGUAUGGCUGUUCGCCAUUUAAAGUGGUACGCGAGCUGGGUUUAGAACGUCGUGAGACAGUUCGGUCCCUAUCUGCCGUGGGCGCUGGAGAACUGAGGGGGGCUGCUCCUAGUACGAGAGGACCGGAGUGGACGCAUCACUGGUGUUCGGGUUGUCAUGCCAAUGGCACUGCCCGGUAGCUAAAUGCGGAAGAGAUAAGUGCUGAAAGCAUCUAAGCACGAAACUUGCCCCGAGAUGAGUUCUCCCUGACUCCUUGAGAGUCCUGAAGGAACGUUGAAGACGACGACGUUGAUAGGCCGGGUGUGUAAGCGCAGCGAUGCGUUGAGCUAACCGGUACUAAUGAACCGUGAGGCUUAACCUUACAACGCCGAAGCUGUU
rnacentral:rRNA from 1 species